rnacentral:rRNA from 1 species
ACUCCUACGGGAGGCAGCAGUGGGGAAUAUUGCACAAUGGGCGCAAGCCUGAUGCAGCCAUGCCGCGUGUGUGAAGAAGGCCUUCGGGUUGUAAAGCACUUUCAGUUGUGAGGAAGGUGGUGUCGUUAAUAGCGGCAUCAUUUGACGUUAGCAACAGAAGAAGCACCGGCUAACUCCGCGCCAGCAGCCGCGGUAAUACGGAGGGUGCGAGCGUUAAUCGGAAUUACUGGGCGUAAAGCGCAUGCAGGUGGUUUGUUAAGUCAGAUGUGAAAGCCCGGGGCUCAACCUCGGAACUGCAUUUGAAACUGGCAGACUAGAGUACUGUAGAGGGGGGUAGAAUUUCAGGUGUAGCGGUGAAAUGCGUAGAGAUCUGAAGGAAUACCGGUGGCAAGGCGGCCCCCUGGACAGAUACUGACACUCAGAUGCGAAAGCGUGGGGAGCAAACAGGAUUAGACACCCUGGUAACACAGAG